GUAUGAGGGGGCAAUCUAGUAGUGACACCUGUCACACUAUUAAUCACCACAGUUGCCUCAGCUGACCUAGUUGGUCUAGGCUCCUUCCUCCACAUCUCUGCAUGUUUAUCCUUCCUGAAGGUGGUUUCUUGGUAGAGAGGGACAGCCUUUCCCCACAGAGGAGUGUUCUUUGAUGAUGGUUGUACAAGUAGUUAGAACUCACUGCAAGAACCUCCAAAUAACCAAACAAAUAAUUAUAUAAUAUGUUGGGAAUGCAAUAUCUUCAGAUGAGGAGAGGUUAACCCAGAUAUCCCAGGUUCU
rnacentral:snRNA from 1 species